UACGGGGGGGGCAAGCGUUGUUCGGAAUUACUGGGCGUAAAGGGCUCGUAGGCGGCCAACUAAGUCGGAUGUGAAAUCCCCAGGCUCAACCUGGGAACUGCAUCCGAUACUGGAUGGCUUGAAUCCGGGAGAGGGAUGCAGAAUUCCAGGUGUAGCGGUGAAAUGCGCAGAUAUCAGGAGGAACACCGGUGGCGAAGGCGGGUCUCUGGGCCGUGACUGACGCUGAGACGCGAAAGCGUGGGGAGCAAACAGG
rnacentral:rRNA from 1 species